AACGAACGCUGGCGGCAGGCCUAACACAUGCAAGUCGAGCGGACCUUUCGGGGUCAGCGGCGGACGGGUGAGUAACGCGUGGGAAUAUGCCCUUCUCUACGGAAUAGUCCUGGGAGACUGGGGGUAAUACCGUAUACGCCCUUUGGGGGAAAGAUUUAUCGGGGAAGGAUUAGCCCGCGUUGGAUUAGGUAGUUGGUGGGGUAAUGGCCUACCAAGCCGACGAUCCAUAGCUGGUUUGAGAGGAUGAUCAGCCACACUGGGACUGAGACACGGCCCAGACUCCUACGGGAGGCAGCAGUGGGGAAUCUUAGACAAUGGGGGCAACCCUGAUCUAGCCAUGCCGCGUGAGUGAUGAAGGCCUUAGGGUUGUAAAGCUCUUUCAGCUGGGAAGAUAAUGACGGUACCAGCAGAAGAAGCCCCGGCUAACUCCGUG
rnacentral:rRNA from 1 species